GCAGUUCCAUUUCUUGCUUUUCACUUUAAGCAAUUUUAUGCUUACGAUUGCCCACUUUUCUUCUCUCUAUAUCUGUACUACAAGGAUGAAGAGAGAGUGAAAAGUGGUGAUGAUAAGUCAACGAGACGAGGAUCAAAAUUAUGAACCUGACAUCUGUUCAAAUGUAUAGCAGCCGUCGUUGGAGCUCUGAUAGGUGUUGUACUACAACGCAGCCUUGCCUUGUACUUCUUUGCAGUACAUAGAAAAUGCUGGUGGGUGGGCUGGUGGUGCUUGAAUUUAGUAUAAAUAAGAAAAACAAUUGCUGUGUUUUUUUGCCAUAUAAGAAGCUUGGGUUUUUGUUCUCUCGGCCUGGCAUUUAAUGCUCUUGAUUAUUGCUUUGGAAGAAGCAAUAUUUAUGGUUUUUGGGCUUUUCUUGAAAGCCUCGAAUCAAGUUCGUCUGCUGUCGUCUGUUUUUCUUGGAGAGUUUCCUUAAGUCAACUUAGAGGCUGGCCCUUGCCCAUGUGUUGAUUUGAAUGUUUUGUUGUCUUUCUGAAGGAAACUAUAUGCUCUUGCAUCUACUUGUAUUGAUUGAUGGGAGACUUGUUAGUUGACUGAGGAAGUUGGAUUCUUCUGGUUGCUUUUUUGAAGCU
rnacentral:lncRNA from 1 species